rnacentral:tRNA from 1 species
UGCCCCAUAGCCAAGCGGUAAGGCAAUGGUUUUUGGUUCCAUCAUGCGUUGGUUCGAAUCCAGCUGGGGCAGCCA